rnacentral:rRNA from 1 species
CCUACGGGUGGCAGCAGUGAGGAAUAUUGGUCAAUGGACGAGAGUCUGAACCAGCCAAGUAGCGUGAAGGAUGACUGCCCUAUGGGUUGUAAACUUCUUUUAUAAAGGAAUAAAACGAGGCACGUGUGCCUUUUUGCAUGUACUUUAUGAAUAAGGAUCGGCUAACUCCGUGCCAGCAGCCGCGGUAAUACGGCGGAUCCGAGCGUUAUCCGGAUUUAUUGGGUUUAAAGGGAGCGUAGAUGGGUUGUUAAGUCAGUUGUGAAAGUUUGCGGCUCAACCGUAAAAUUGCAAUUGAUACUGGCAGUCGUGAGUACAGAUGAGGUAGGCGGAAUUCGUGGUGUAGCGGUGAAAUGCUUAGAUAUCACGAAGAACCCCGAUUGCGAAGGCAGCUUACUAAACUGUGACUGACAUUGAUGCUCGAAAGUGUGGGUAUCAAACAGGAUUAGAUACCCGAGUAGUC